rnacentral:rRNA from 1 species
GACGAACGCUGGCGGCGUGCUUAACACAUGCAAGUCGAACGGAAAGGCCCUGCUUUUGUGGGGUGCUCGAGUGGCGAACGGGUGAGUAACACGUGAGUAACCUGCCCUUGACUUUGGGAUAACUUCAGGAAACUGGGGCUAAUACCGGAUAGGAGCUCCUGCUGCAUGGUGGGGGUUGGAAAGUUUCGGCGGUUGGGGAUGGACUCGCGGCUUAUCAGCUUGUUGGUGGGGUAGUGGCUUACCAAGGCUUUGACGGGUAGCCGGCCUGAGAGGGUGACCGGCCACAUUGGGACUGAGAUACGGCCCAGACUCCUACGGGAGGCAGCAGUGGGGAAUAUUGCACAGUGGGCGGAAGCCUGAUGCAGCAAUGCCGCGUGCGGGAUGACGGCCUUCGGGUUGUAAACCGCUUUCGCCUGUGACGAAGCGUGAGUGACGGUAAUGGGUAAAGAAGCACCGGCUAACUACGUG